rnacentral:tRNA from 1 species
GCGGGUGUAGCUCAAUGGUAGAGCAGAAGCCUUCCAAGCUUACG